UACGUAGGGUGCAAGCGUUAAUCGGAAUUACUGGGCGUAAAGCGUGCGCAGGCGGUGAUGUAAGACAGAUGUGAAAUCCCCGGGCUCAACCUGGGAACUGCGUCCGAUACUGGCAGGCUUGAAUCCGGGAGAGGGAUGCGGAAUUCCAGGUGUAGCGGUGAAAUGCGUAGAUAUCUGGAGGAACACCGGUGGCGAAGGCGGCAUCCUGGACCAAUUCUGACGCUGAGGAGCGAAAGCCAGGGGAGCAAACGGG
rnacentral:rRNA from 1 species